ACGGGAGGCAGCAGUGGGGAAUAUUGCACAAUGGGGGAAACCCUGAUGCAGCGACGCCGCGUGAGUGAAGAAGUAUUUCGGUAUGUAAAGCUCUAUCAGCAGGGAAGAUAAUGACGGUACCUGACUAAGAAGCCCCGGCUAACUACGUGCCAGCAGCCGCGGUAAUACGUAGGGGGCAAGCGUUAUCCGGAUUUACUGGGUGUAAAGGGAGCGUAGGUGGUACGGCAAGUCAGAAGUGAAAUGCGGGGGCUCAACCCCUGAACUGCUUUUGAAACUGUCGGACUAGAGUGCUGGAGAGGUAAGUGGAAUUCCUAGUGUAGCGGUGAAAUGCGUAGAUAUUAGGAGGAACACCAGUGGCGAAGGCGGCUUACUGGACAGUAACUGACACUGAGGCUCGAAAGCGUGGGGAGCAAACAGGAUUAGAUACCCUGGUA
rnacentral:rRNA from 1 species